rnacentral:rRNA from 1 species
UUGUUGGUAAGGUAAAGGCUUACCAAGGCUUCGAUCAGUAGCUGGUCUGAGAGGACGGCCAGCCACACUGGGACUGAGACACGGCCCAGACUCCUACGGGAGGCAGCAGUGGGGAAUUUUGGACAAUGGGGGAAACCCUGAUCCAGCCAUGCCGCGUGAGUGAAGAAGGCCUUCGGGUUGUAAAGCUCUUUCAGCCGGAACGAAACGGUUACGGAUAAUACCCGUGACUACUGACGGUACCGGAAGAAGAAGCACCGGCUAACUACGUGCCAGCAGCCGCGGUAAUACGUGGGGUGCGAGCGUUAAUCGGAAUUACUGGGCGUAAAGCGUGCGCAGGUGGUUUUGUAAGUCAGAUGUGAAAGCCCCGGGCUCAACCUGGGAACUGCGUUUGAAACUACAAGACUAGAGUGUGGCAGAGGGGGGUGGAAUUCCGCGUGUAGCAGUGAAAUGCGUAGAGAUGUGGAGGAACACCGAUGGCGAAGGCAGCCCCCUGGGUUAACACUGACACUCAGGCACGAAAGCAUGGGGAGCAAACAGGAUUAGAUACCCUGGUAGUCCAUGCCCUAAACGAUGUCAACUAGUUGUCGGGCCUUUACGGGCUUGGUAACGUAGCUAACGCGUGAAGUUGACCGCCUGGGGAGUACGAUCGCAAGAUUAAAACUCAAAUGAAUUGACGGGGACCCGCACAAGCGGUGGAUUAUGUGGAUUAAUUCGAUGCAACGCGAAAAACCUUACCUACCCUUGACAUGUAUCGAAGCCCGCAGAAAAGCGGGGGUGCCCGAAAGGGAACGAUAACACAGGUGCUGCAUGGCUGUCGUCAGCUCGUGUCGUGAGAUGUUGGGUUAAGUCCCGCAACGAGCGCAACCCUUGUCAUUAAUUGCUAUCAUUUAGUUGGGCACUUUAAUGAGACUGCCGG